AGAAUUUGAGAACAGUUUGCCAGCUAACUGUUGGGAGGAUUCUUGCAAAUAAUCCUGAAUAAAAUUUGGUCUAGUUUAUCUAAGUGAAUUUUAUAUUCACAAAAGCAUAUAUUUCCCCCAUUGGUAGAAAAUGGGCUAGAAAAAGAAUAACAGCUAUUACUCAGAUUAGUUAUGUUUAAACAGUUAAGAAAUGUUUCCUUCUUCAUAGAUUCAAGACAUAUUGAAGGACCUUUUUAAAAAGGUCACAAAAAGGUCACCAGCCCAUUUCUUGGUUCAGAACUAUUGCUGAGAUAAGCAGUUUUAAAGUGGAGCCUUAUUUCAAACCAAGAAGGGAUAAAACACACUGCUGAUGCACAAAAGGUGCAUUUGAUAAGCGAGUCCUUGGAACGAAAAUUGUGAGGACAAUAGGAUUUAACCUUUGGGAGGACGUUCCUUCAAAAUGGUCUUUCUACAAUGUCCAAGAUUUAUCACAUAUGGAAAAUAUCACAGGCUUGAUCUUGUAGAGGGAAGUUAAAAUAUAACCAAAGUGAAUGUCUAAAUGAAAAGGGCACGAUCAGUUCUCCCAUCUGGUGGCAACUGCAGUCAGUAAGACCCUAAUUUUCACUAGCAACAGAUUGGAGUUCUGUCAGCUUUCCAAAUAUGAAGUCAAUAACAAUGUUUCCUGCUGAUGAUGGACCAAUUCAAUGAGCCAAGUGAUGACCAUAGUGGAGCUGAUGGUGGAGAAAUUCUUGGGAUAGAUUUAUAGCCACGCAGUCAGGGUGAAACAUCUACUCACACAUCCACAGUGCUUUCAUAAAUGACUUGUGUAAAUACUUAGUUGUAAGGAGGAGCAGGUACAGAUUGUUUCUGGGGUCAGAGAUACUCAUCUGGGUUACAGUGCAUUUCUUGCAGAGUGGGUAGGAAAGAAAAUAGUCAUGGCGCUGGUUAUUUACAUAUUGGGGUGGGUGGGUAGCAAGUUGGAUUACUCCAGUCGCAUUCGAAUUGGCAUAAGCAGUUGACGAAGGGGUAUAAUAAAAUGGCAA